CCUACGGGUGGCAGCAGUGAGGAAUAUUGGUCAAUGGACGAGAGUCUGAACCAGCCAAGUAGCGUGAAGGAUGACUGCCCUAUGGGUUGUAAACUUCUUUUAUAUGGGAAUAAAACGUUCCACGUGUGGGAUUUUGUAUGUACCAUAUGAAUAAGGAUCGGCUAACUCCGUGCCAGCAGCCGCGGUAAUACGGAGGGUCCGAGCGUUAUCCGGGUUUAUUGGGUUUAAAGGGAGCGUAGGUGGAUUGUUAAGUCAGUUGUGAAAGUUUGCGGCUUAACCGUAAAAUUGCAGUUGAAACUGGCAGUCUUGAGUACAGUAGAGGUGGGCGGAAUUCGUGGUGUAGCGGUGAAAUGCUUAGAUAUCACGAAGAACUCCGAUUGCGAAGGCAGUUCACUGGACUGCAACUGACACUGAGGCUCGAAAGUGUGGGUAUCAAACAGGAUUAGAUACCCCAGUAGUC
rnacentral:rRNA from 1 species